rnacentral:rRNA from 1 species
CCUACGGGGGGCAGCAGUGGGGAAUAUUGCACAAUGGGGGAAAGCCUGAUGCAGCAAUGCCGCGUGUGUGAAGAAGGCCUGCGGGUUGUAAAGCACUUUCAGUGGGGAGGAAACAGUUGCGGGUUAAUAUCCCGCGACCUUGACGUUACCCACAGAAGAAGCACCGGCUAACUCUGUGCCAGCAGCCGCGGUAAUACAGAGGGUGCGAGCGUUAAUCGGAAUUACUGGGCGUAAAGCGCGCGUAGGCGGCUUGGUCAGUCGGAUGUGAAAGCCCCGGGCUUAACCUGGGAAUUGCAUUCGAUACUGCCAGGCUAGAAUGUAGUAGAGGGAAGUGGAAUUCCGGGUGUAGCGGUGAAAUGCGUAGAUAUCCGGAGGAACAUCAGUGGCGAAGGCGACUUCCUGGACUAACAUUGACGCUGAGGUGCGAAAGCGUGGGGAGCAAACAGGAUUAGAUACCCUUGUAGUC